rnacentral:rRNA from 1 species
GGAGGCUAUAACUAGCCUCCUCCGGGAGACCUGAAAAAGCAAAGCAGGGAAAGCGGGGAGGGGUUGACAGGGAUGAUUCGGAAGUGUAGGAUCAAACGGUUGACUCUUUCGGGGAGAAAAAGCCCUGAAGAGAAGACGCCCUGUGGAAACGCAGGGAGAGCGUCUCGGAUCAUUGACAACUAAAUAGGAGCAGCAACGUCCAAUUAAAGGGCCCUGAUCACGAAACACAGUAAUAAAAUGAAUCUGGAGAGUUUGAUCCUGGCUCAGAACGAACGCUGGCGGCGUGCCUAACACAUGCAAGU